rnacentral:rRNA from 1 species
GGCCUACGGGGGGCAGCAGUAGGGAAUAUUGGACAAUGGGCGAAAGCCUGAUCCAGCAACGCCGCGUGCACGAUGACGGCCUUCGGGUUGUAAAGUGCUUUUAAGGGAGAUGAGAAAGGACAGUAUCCCUUGAAUAAGCCUCGGCGAACUACGUGCCAGCAGCCGCGGUAAAACGUAGGAGGCAAGCGUUAUCCGGAUUUAUUGGGCGUAAAGCGCGUGCAGGCCGCUUGGAAAGUUGGAUGUGAAAGCUCCUGGCUUAACUGGGAGAGGUCGUUCAAAACUACCAAGCUAGAGAAUGGGAGAGGGAAGUGGAAUUCCGGGUGUAGUGGUGAAAUGCGUAGAUAUCCGGAGGAACACCAGUGGCGAAAGCGGCUUCCUAGACCAUUUCUGACGCUCAGACGCGAAAGCUAGGGGAGCGAACGGGAUUAGAUACCCCGGUAGUCCC